GAAUGAUGUGAGGAACAUUUUUGUUUUGAUUGCUGUGAUGAUGGCAAUUUUUGUAUUAGCUCUAUCUGAUCAUUC
rfam:Cucumis sativus cultivar 9930 chromosome 7, whole genome shotgun sequence.